GACGUGUUGAGAUGGUUGGACAGAAGCAGCAAAAAUUUGAAAGAUGAGGGACACAUCAAGGAACUGAAAGCAAUCAAUUCUAGCAAGAUGGCUGCCGAGCUUGACCACGGCGAAAAAACCGAUCACGGCGUUGCUAAGCCAAGCAAGAAGAUUGCCGAGCUUGACAACGGCGAGAAGACCGAUCCCGGCGUUGCUAGGCGGUCACCCAACCUAACAACAGUCAAAAUCCGGGAGGCUUGUGAAAACUCAGACACUGUGGGACAGCUGACGGAAUUGGUGGUCA